AACGAACGCUGGCGGCAGGCUUAACACAUGCAAGUCGAGCGCCCCGCCAGGGGAGCGGCAGACGGGUGAGUACCGCGUGGGAACGUACCUUUUGGUUCGGAACAACUCCGGGAAACUGGAGCUAAUACCGGAUAAGCCCUAACGGGGAAAGAUUUAUCGCCGAAAGAUCGGCCCGCGUCUGAUUAGCUAGUUGGUGAGGUAACGGCUCACCAAGGCGACGAUCAGUAGCUGGUCUGAGAGGAUGAUCAGCCACACUGGGACUGAGACACGGCCCAGACUCCUACGGGAGGCAGCAGUGGGGAAUAUUGGACAAUGGGCGCAAGCCUGAUCCAGCCAUGCCGCGUGAGUGAUGAAGGCCUUAGGGUUGUAAAGCUCUUUUGUCCGGGAAGAUAAUGACUGUACCGGAAGAAUAAGCCCCGGCUAACUUCGU
rnacentral:rRNA from 1 species